CUCUUUUCUUUCUCGUUCCUUCCUCUUUCUUCUUCUUUUUCCUGUUUUUCGUCUCUCGUUCUUUUGUGUGAAGAUUUUUAGUUUGAGAUCGGAAAAAUUAAGUGAAGCGUUAGGAGUUGAUUGUUGAUGCUGGUGUUGUUAUUGGUUUGGCGAGGAAAGGAGAAGAAAUGAUAGGCUCGAGAGAAUUAGAGUUAGGGUUUCUGGAAGAUGAAAUUGAUUGAAGAAUUAUGUGGAUUUGAAUAUGAAGUGGAUCAAUUGAUGAUGGGUAUUUUUUUUUUAAAACAAGUGAGAAGAAUUAGCUGUUCAUUUAGGAAUUUAAUGAAGAUUUGAGAAGAUUAGGGUUUUCCUGGAAAUCGAAUUAAGAUUCGAUUUAAGUGGUGAAUUAAGAUUAAUUGGAUAGAUUCAGUAGAUGCGUUUGUUCGCUUGAAGCUGUUAAGGAAGAAAUUGAAGAGUUUGAUUGAUGUUUUGAGUUGAAUUCGAGAUUGAAGUUAAUUAAGGUUUCUCAGAAGAUUUAAUAGAAGUUUGAUUAGUGAUAAUUAAGAUGGAAUUAAAGAUGGGUUUUAUCUGAAUUAGAGUUUGAGGUUGAAGAGUAGUUUGGAAUUGGUAAGUAGGGUUUGGUUCUGUUUUAUUGAAGGUUUAGGAUUUGAAUUGGAGUUUAAUUGAGAACCAGUGAUGGGUUGAAGCUUUUGGGUAUGGUUCGAGUUGUGCUGAUGAGUUCUGAGUAAUCUUGAGAUGUGUUGGUGAAUCAAAAUCAAAGUGAGAAGCAGGGUCUGAUUGAGUUGCUUGAGGAAAGUUAUCUUGAGGUAAUUGUUUGAUCUCAGCAAAUCUAAGUUUAGUUAUUCAUUUCAGUUUUGAGUUUGUGAAGUUGUUAAUGAUAUUAGAAUUGAAAUGAUUUUACUGAGGAUAGUGACAAUAGUUAUGUAAAAAGAAAUCUAAAGGUAUCAGUUGCAGAUUCUGGUGGUGUUGAAUGUAUUCAGGGUAAGUUCAUUCAUUUGAACUCAGUUGAGAUGAAUUGUUGUGUCUGUAAUGGUAUGAACUGUUGAUGGCUAAAGUUGAUUAAGAUUAAGUCAGUUGUGUGGGUGUGCAGUCGAGUUCGUUUAACUGACAAUGGUGAUUGUAAUUAUUGAAGUUUAAGUGUGUUAGAAUUGAAAUUGUUAUGGUUUGGAUGAAUUAGUGAUUACAGGAUAUGGGAUUGGAUAACUAUGGGUGCCUGGAAUGAAAUUGAAGUUAUGAUGCAGAUUGUAUUGGGUUACAGAGAAUUGUGAUGAGUUACAGGGAUUGUAGUGGUGUUGUUGAGAUGAUGCAGGUGGAUGGAGAAAGAGAAUCACAGUUGUAGUUAAAUAUCUUGAGUUGCAAGUAAUCUGAAUUAAUAGUGAUUAUAGAGUUACAAUUAGUGUUGCUGUGAAAAGCUUAAAGCUGCAGUUGCAGGACGAACCAGUGGAUCGUGGAUCUCGAGGUAGGCGUGGCUUGUCAACAAAAAGAGUUUUUCAGUUAUCAGAAGAAUCAGUGCGCAUGAAGAUUUCCGUUUUUGUAGCUUAACGUUUGGGCGAAUUGAUGAUGUUUGUUUAUCGUUUAUAUUUGUAUUGUUUUGUUAAUUUGUUAAACAACACAUUGUUGUAUUCUUAUCACUUGAGAGAUUUUCGUUUAUGUAAUAUCAGAGUGUUGGGUUAAGUUUUGUAGAAGAUUUCUAAAUUGAAUGAUUAAGUUUAUGAUU